GUCAAAAUCCAAGUUUCCUUUUUCAAAAUUGACAAGGUGAUAUUUAAAUUCAAAAGGAAUGUAAGGGACCAAGAAUGGCCAAAAUCAUCUUGAAAAAGAUUGAAGUUGGAAGACCCUGACUUCCUGAUUUGAAAUUUACUGUAAAACUACAUUAAUCAAGGCAUUGUAGGAUUGGCACAAAGAUAGAUUAUAUAUAUAUAUAUAUAUAUAAUAUAUAUAUAUAUAUAAAAAAGUUUGCCCAGACAAUGUACUGGAGAAAGAAGUCUUUUCAACAGAAGACCCUUCUAAAAUUUGGGGAUAAUGUGGUCCUUCUUAGAGGCACUUGAUACCUCAACCAUAUCCCAUGAUGGUGAACAAAGUUUCCCUGGCCUUGUGAAGGGUGGACAGAAAAAAGCCGUGAAGCAGGCCUAGAAUGGUAUACAAGAAUCCUUCGGCAUAGGCAGUCUUCCUUUCUUUGUCACUUAUAUCCAGGUUACAGAUAUUUUUUUUGUGUUUCUGUAAACUAUGAGAACAUGUAUCACACUAUCUAGAUUCCUACCUAUAUACUCUAUUUAUAUUGAUGUAUUUCUGAAUUUACCACCCUCCUAUGGGAAUGUAAUCUCUCGAAGGAAGGGACCAAGGGCAUCUUGCUCAACAUUUUGUACUAUUCACCUAAUAUGCUUAGCAUGUCACAGUUGAUAGCAAAGUAUUUGCUUAUUGACUGAUCAAUGAAUUUUAAAAAUCCAUACAUCAACUCAUAUUUCUCUAAAAAUGAAUUACUGAUCAGCCAUUAUAAGAAAGAAAAGAAAGAGAAAGCAAGCAAGCAAGCAAGAAAGGAAGAAAAAAAGGAAGGAAGGAAGGAAAGAAGAAAUAAAUAAAUAAAGGAAAGAAAGAAAGAAGAAAGAGAAAGAAAGAAAAAGGAAAAGAAAGAAAAGAAAGGAAGGAAGGAAGGAAGGGGGAGGGAGGGAGGGAAGGAAAGAAGAAAGAGUGAGUCAGACAAGGAGAUGUGAGUUAGCUUUGUAAAUAUCCAUAAUCCAUUUUUAACUAUAACUAAGAAAUCACGUUGCCCAAGGCCUUGGGAGUCCACUCCUUGUACCAGUAUGCCUUGGAUGUCGGACACGAAAUCAAAAGAGAUUAUUUUGGAGCUUUAAGUUUUAAUGACUGCCUUGCUGGGAUUCAAACUUGCUUGGGGCCUGUAUCUUCUUUCUUUUGAUCAAUUUCUCCCUUUUUGAACAGGAAUGCUUACCCAAUUCCUAUACCUCCAUUGUAUCUUGGAAGUAAAUAACCUGUUUUUUAUUUUACAGGAUCAUAGAUGGAAGGGACUUGCCUUGUCUCAGACAGGACUUGGGACUUUUGAGUCAAUGCUGGAAACAGUUAAGAAUUUAGGGGACUGUUGGGAAGGCAUGAUACCAUUUUGAAAUGUCAAAAGGGCAUGAGAUUUGCGAGGGCCAGAGCAGAAUGAUGUACUUUUCAGAAUGAUAUCCCCCAAAUAUCAUGUUGAAUUGUAAUCCCCAAUGCUGGGGUGAGGUCUUGUGGGAGGUGUUUGGAUCAUGGAGGCAGAUCUCUCAUGACUUGGUACUUACUUCAUGAUAGUGAGUUCUCAUGGGAUCUAGUCCUUCAAAAGUGUGUGGCACCUCCUCUGCUCACUCUCUUUCUUGCUCCUGCUUUUACCAUGUGAUGUGCCAGCUCUCCCUUUACCUUCCGCCAUGUUUGGAAGCUUCCUGAGGCCUUCCCAGAAGCAGAUGCCAGUAUGCUGCCUGUACAACCUGCAGAACUAUUCAUUUGGAAGUGGUUGAGUGGGUGACUGAAGAAUCUCAGUGGAAUUUUUAAGCCUACCAAAAAAAAACAGCUUUACUGGGUCAAAAAUUACUCAGGGUAAGUCAGAGAUAUGACUCUAAACUUAUUUAAAGAUCCCACUGUAAUUUCCAGCCACCCACUACAAAAUCAGCCAGUGAAGCAGAAAUCAUCAAAACUAUUUGAGGAAAAUGAAAGCAGCCAAAAGAGAAUUUCCUGAUGCUCCCACCAUCAAAUCCAUCAGCAUGCCUGCAUCUGAAAUCACAUUCUUUGCUUUCCUUCCUUUGAGAGUGGCUGGUCUGUCAGUAAUUCUAGCAAAGACCACACCACAUCCUAUCCUCUUACCAGAGAGCAUUUUCCUGAAAAUGACCAUUUCUGCAUUCCCCCUUAUGUUUUCCCCUAUACUGAAUCAUUCCAGUUAUCAUUUGUUUCAAAUGAAGAAUUAUAAUUCAAGUAUUUCUUUUAGUGCAAUGAGUGAGAGAUAAAGAUUACAUUUAACAUUAAGAUUGGUUCAGAACAUAAAAGUUCUUUUUGCACCGUGUUGGAAACUAUUGAAGUACUAUCUUCACAGCGUAACCCUCCGUACAUGCACUUCAUUGCUCCUCAAUUUUUCUGCCUUUCUCCAACACAAUACCUGAUACUGCCCUACUUUCUAUUCUCUUGUAUCCUUAUUUUUUCCUAAUUGAGAGAGAACAGUGAUGAUAAUUAAACAAUUGAGUGGAAACCAAUUCCUGCGAUAGUGCUAGAUGCUUAAUAGGUAACAUCUUCUGCUCGAGUUACUGAGACUUCACCUACUUUGAAGCUACUGAUCUCAAAGAAGCUUAAGGAAUAAUUAUGGAGGAGAUAAUUUUAGGUAAAAUUUGAAUUUAUAAGGAAAUGUUGUCCAGGAAAAUUAUAGGGUCCAUUUUUUACCAGGCUUGAGACAUAUUUGGUACAGAGAAUAUUAGGGAGUGGUUAGUCAGAAUGGCUGCUUUGGAAAAUGAAUUUAACUGUAAGAAGUCUGUUGAGUACAUAUAACAGUGGAAUAAAAUGGUGGUGGAGGUGAAAGAUCACUUCAUAUGAUACAUUUUGACUUCAAAUUUCUAGUCUCUGAGGAUUAAGAAGGUACCAGUGAAGAAAGGUUUGAUUUUCAAAGAGAAGCAGCCAAUGUCCCAUGACACCAUUAAUAAAAUAGAUAACACUUUAGAGUGUGCAAAGUUCAUUUAUUUUGAUUAUCUAAUUCAAAAGUGACACAACCUUAUGAGGUAACAAUUGCUAUACUUUAAUAAGGAAUGGAAACUAAGAGAAAUUAAGUAAGAUUUACCUUGGAUUUCCAAGGUAAUCCAAUAAGUGAGUCAAACCCAGGCUAUAGGUAAAGAAAUUGGCCACUCAGUACUACAAUAUGUAUGUUCACCAUUGUAGAGUGUGGCUGUCUUUUGAAAAAUGGCCCUUAGUGAAACAUGCUGUCCAGUAUUCACUUUUUUGUAUAGUUUUUAACCAAAAUAAAUGAGGGCUUGCCCUGUGUAAAUGAUAGAAUGUGGCGUGUUUCUUUUUCUCUAGGAAUGUGUAGUCUGUAGGAAGCCAACUUUUUGAACAUGAAGUUCAAGCACUCUGAGGACUCUAAGUUUGAGGAAGCCCAAGAUAGCCAAAUGAAGAGUCCACAAAAAGAAAAAGAGCUAUAGUGUCUGCUCUUUUAGCAAUCCCACCUGAGGUGUCAGACAUGUGAAUGAAGAUACUUUCUUGGUUGUCCAGUCUAGUUGAACUUUCAGAUGACUCUAGAUUUUGCUACUAUCUGACCGACACUCCAGGAGAUAUCUCAAGUGAGAAAUAACCAGUUGAGCUCAGUCAACACAAAUUACCAUAAAUAAUUAUUUUGGUUUCCAAGUUUGGGGGUGACCUUUUGUGUAGCAUUAGAUAAACAAAACCCUGCUUAUCUCCAAAGUUGGGGAAGGGGAGAAAUAAAAGAAUCACAUAAGGUAAAUAAGGGGCAUUGUUUUGCAAACUUUGAAAAAUACUAUAUACAAUGCAUGGAUGUAGUGAAAUACAUAGAGACUCAGAAGUCAUAAGCCCUGAGUUUGAAACCUCUUGAUAUUUUCUCACUCUGUGACUCUUGGAUAAAUCACACUCAAUUUCUCCUAGUCUAAAUGUGAUUAUCAAUAAAAUUAUGUUAAUAAAGCCUUGCUC
rnacentral:lncRNA from 10 species